CAAUAGCGUAUAUUAACGUUGUUGCAGUUAAAAAGCUCGUAGUUGGAUUUCUGGAGGGAGCGUCGGCCCGUAUUUACGAGUGCGUGACGUCUCUGUCCAUCCUUGCGGGAAGGCACGGCAUUGAUUUGUUGUGUCGGAUCGCAUCAUUUACUGUGAAAAAAUUAGAGUGUUCAAAGCAGGCUUUCGCUUGAAUACAUUAGCAUGGAAUAAUAAGAUAGGACUUUGAUGCUAUUUUGUUGGUUGAGCCUAAAGUAAUGAUUAAUAGGGAUAGUUGGGGGCACCUGUAUUGCGUUGUCAGAGGUGAAAUUCUUGGAUUUACGCAAGACAAACAGCUGCGAAAGCGUCUGCCAAGGAUGUUUUCAUUAA
rnacentral:rRNA from 1 species